rnacentral:tRNA from 1 species
GAGAAAGUCAUAAUGGUUAUGGGAUUGGCUUGAAACCAGUUUUAGGGGGUUCGAAUCCUUCCUUUCUUA